UAAUUACAGUGACUUCAUUCACCGAACAAAAACAUAUCUGCAUAUGAUUAGAGAUAAAAAUAUCUAAGAAGAAUAUAAAAGGGCCAACCUGACGAUACAUUUCUCAGAGGAACUUUCGCAAAGCGACAACCAACUGCUACAAGACAUCGCCAAGUUCCGCCACAGCCAUAGGACCGAAGAAGAAUCGACGAGCCAACAACACUUCGCUAAAACUUAGUCGAAGACUCCUCCAAAAGCGUUGAACAGCUGCAGCAAGUAAAGGUACAACAUGUCAAGGCAACAACAACAAGUACUACAUGUCACACAAGCGCCUGUGGGUGACAGGGGUACCCACAACCCGGCUAUGAUCAUGGAUAACAGCGAUACCAGGGUUGCCGGCUACCCUCCGCCAUAUCCCACCCAACAACAGCCGUAUCCCACCCAGAAAACUCCAUAUCCAACCCAGCAAUCGCCAGGCACAUUUGCGGUCUACCAGCCCGGUCAACAACACCCAGUCGGCAGCGCAGCAGCUGUGGAGGCGGGGGUGGCUCCAGGACCGGUCAUGCAGGAAGAACGCCCUGGAGGAUGUACCCAAAAAAAAGUUGCAGCCGCAGUAGGCGCACUGGUACUUGGCAUUGCUAUCGGAGUAUUGGCGAAUAUAAAUAGGAUCAUAAAUUUAACAUAAAGACAUAUGGCUAAAGGGCCUCAUUGUCGCAUGAGUUACAAAUCGGUGGGUCACUCUUCUGUGCGGAGUGCUUUUCACAUUUUUGGAUCAUUUUAUCUAGUCAAAACUACCUACAGUGAAGGAAGUAGUCACAGUAGAGAGGAAGCCACUCGAGACCAGAUUCUUAAAUUAAUGCUUGGGUCAAAGGGAAAAUUAUUCUGUUGAGAGCUUUAGGGACUACCAAAAGUGGCUA